CCAGACUCCUACGGGAGGCAGCAGUGGGGGAUAUUGCACAAUGGGGGGAACCCUGAUGCAGCGACGCCGCGUGGGUGAAGGAGCGUUUCGGCGCGUAAAGCCCUAUCGGCAGGGAAGAAGGAGGACGGUACCUGACUAAGAAGCCCCGGCUAACUACGUGCCAGCAGCCGCGGUAAUACGUAGGGGGCAAGCGUUAUCCGGAUUUACUGGGUGUAAAGGGGGCGCAGACGGCAGCGCAAGCCAGGAGUGAAAGCCCGGGGCCCAACCCCGGGACUGCUCUGGAAACUGUACGGCUGGAGUGCAGGAGAGGUAAGUGGAAUUCCUAGUGUAGCGGUGAAAUGCGUAGAUAUUAGGAGGAACACCGGCGGCGAAGGCGGCCUGCUGGACCGUAACUGACGUUGAGGCUCGAAAGCGUGGGGAGCAAACAGGAUUAGAUACCCGUGUACU
rnacentral:rRNA from 1 species